UGGGGAAUUUUGCGCAAUGGGGGCAACCCUGACGCAGCAACGCCGCGUGCGGGACGACGGCCUUCGGGUUGUAAACCGCUUUCAGCAGGGAAGAAAUUCGACGGUACCUGCAGAAGAAGCUCCGGCUAACUACGUGCCAGCAGCCGCGGUAAUACGUAGGGAGCGAGCGUUAUCCGGAUUCAUUGGGCGUAAAGAGCGCGUAGGCGGCCUCUCAAGCGGGAUCUCUAAUCCGAGGGCUCAACCCCCGGCCGGAUCCCGAACUGGGAGGCUCGAGUUCGGUAGAGGCAGGCGGAAUUCCCGGUGUAGAGGUGGAAUGCGCAGAUAUCGGGAAGAACACCGAUGGCGAAGGCAGCCUGCUGGGCCGCAACUGACGCUGAGGCGCGAAAGCUAGGGGAGCGAACAGG
rnacentral:rRNA from 1 species